AUGUCAGAUGUCCAAUUGAUGAAUCAAGCAAGGCUCAAAGUCCUCAGAGCAAGAGAUGACCUUAUCACAGACCUACUAAAUGAAGCAAAACAGAGGAUCAGCAAGGUGGUAAAAGAUACAACCAGGUACCAAGUGCUGCUGGAUGGACUGGUUCUCCAGGGUUUGUACUAGUUGCUGGAGCCCCGAAUGAUUGUUUGAUGCAGGAAACAAGAUUUCCCUCUGGUAAAGGCUGCAGUGCAAAAGGCAAUCCCAAUACACAAAAUUGCCACCAAAAACAAUGUUGAUGUCCAAAUUGACCAAGAGUCCUACCUGCCUGAGGACUUAGCUGGUGGAGUUGAGAUCUAUAAUGGGGAUCGUAAAACAAAGGUUUCCAACACCCUGGAAAGCCGGCUGGACCUCAUAGACCAGCAGGUGAUGCCAGAAGUCUGAGGAGCCUUGUUUGGUGCGAAUGCUAACAGGAAGUUUUUGGACUAAGCCUCCGAGAGGUAGAGCUCAUCCUCGGCUCUCCUGCUGUGACAUGGAAGCUUCUGAUAUUUGAAGAAACACGAUGUCUCUGUAGCUUCCUCUUUACUGCCCUGCUGUUGCUCAGUAUUUAUCAGUGAUGCCCCUCUGUCUGUCACUAACGCCUUGCCUAAUUGUUCACAAUGGCGGAAAGCUUCAUGUAAUAUGCUCAAGACCCACCUUCAGUUCAUCUGAAGUGACACAGUGUCUGGUCGGUUCAGCACACUAGGGGAGGGGCAGGUGGUGAUUGCAUAGGCUUCCUGGGUCUCCGUUCUACGUCUGGCGUAGAGGUGACAUGUCUGGCAUUCUCGGCCCUGCAUUCCCCACUCUUGAAGCUUAAGGUGCAUGUGGCACACUACUUCUUCAUAGUCGCUUCACUGUUCCCUGUUUAGGUCUAGAAGUUUUCCCUCUUCUGCAAAUGUGAUUCAGAAUCUAAGCCAUGGAUGUGCUUUAUUUAUUAAAAGAGUUAUGUGGAAUUAAAAAAAAAA